UACGUAGGGGGCAAGCGUUGCCCGGAAUCAUUGGGCGUAAAGCGCGUGUAGGCGGCCCGGUAAGUCCGCUGUGAAAGUCCUGGGCUCAACCUGGGAACUGCGCUUGAUACGGCAGAGCUAGAGGAUGGAAGAGGCUCGCGGAAUUCCCAGUGUAGAGGUGAAAUUCGUAGAUAUUGGGAAGAACACCGGUGGCGAAGGCGGCGAGCUGGUCCAUUACUGACGCUGAGGCGCGACAGCGUGGGGAGCAAACAGG
rnacentral:rRNA from 1 species